UACAGAGGGGGCAAGCGUUGUUCGGAAUUACUGGGCGUAAAGGGCGCGUAGGCGGCCAACUAAGUCAGACGUGAAAUCCCCAGGCUCAACCUGGGAACUGCGUCUGAUACUGGAUGGCUCGAGUUCGGGAGAGGGAAGCGGAAUUCCAGGUGUAGCGGUGAAAUGCGUAGAUAUCUGGAGGAACACCGGUGGCGAAGGCGGCUUCCUGGACCGAUACUGACGCUGAGGCGCGAAAGCCAGGGGAGCAAACGGG
rnacentral:rRNA from 1 species